GUGCUUGCUUCGGCAGCACAUAUACUGAAAUUGAAAUGAUACAGAGAAGAUUAACAUGGCCCCCGCGCAAGGUUGACAUGCAAAUUUGUGAAGUGUUCCAUUUUUUU